rfam:Danio rerio chromosome 21, GRCz11 reference primary assembly.
GGGGAUGUAGAUCAGUGGUAGAGCGUAUGCUUCGCAUGUAUGAGGUCCUUGGUUCAAUCUCCAGCAUCUCCA